UGCCAGACUCCUACGGGAGGCAGCAGUGGGGAAUAUUGCACAAUGGGGGAAACCCUGAUGCAGCAACGCCGCAUGAGUGAAGAAGUAUUUCGGUAUGUAAAGCUCUAUCAGCAGGGAAGAAAAUGACGGUACCUGAGUAAGAAGCCCCGGCUAACUACGUGCCAGCAGCCGCGGUAAUACGUAGAGGGCAAGCGUUAUCCGGAUUUACUGGGUGUAAAGGGAGCGUAGACGGCGAUACAAGUCUGAAGUGAAAGCCCGGGGCUCAACCCCGGGACUGCUUUGGAAACUGUGUUGCUGGAGUGCUGGAGAGGCAAGCGGAAUUCCUAGUGUAGCGGUGAAAUGCGUAGAUAUUAGGAAGAACACCAGUGGCGAAGGCGGCUUGCUGGACAGUAACUGACGUUGAGGCUCGAAAGCGUGGGGAGCAAACAGGAUUAGAUACCCCAGUA
rnacentral:rRNA from 1 species